rnacentral:rRNA from 1 species
UACGUAGGUGGCAAGCGUUACUCGGAAUCACUAGGCGUAAAGCGCAGGUAGGCGGUUCGGUAAGUCUUUUGUGAAAGCUCCCGGCUCAACUGGGAGAGGUCAAGGGAAACUACCGGGCUAGAGUGUGGCAGAGGAAGCUGGAAUUCCCGGUGUAGCGGUGAAAUGCGUAGAGAUCGGGAGGAAUACCUAUGGCGAAAGCAGGCUUCUGGGCCGUCACUGACGCUGAUCUGCGAAAGCUAGGGGAGCAAACAGG